UAUAUAUAUAUAUAUAUAUAUAUAUAUAUAUAUAUAUAUAAUUUUUAUGUAGUCGUAUUUUAUUUGGCGCAGUUGGGAUUUAAAACAGAAAGAUGGCAAACAUGACUCAUCUUUUUCAGUUGAAAUGCUUUCCAAUUUAUGUUAAAUCUCCAUCUGAGGUGAAACCUUUUCACUGUGAAGGGAAAAAAAAUCCCAUGCAAAAUCAUAUCAUAAGCAAAAGACUUUCUAUAUAACAAGAGGGAUGAAAUAUCAUAGAGUAACUUGCUUGAAUGAGCUAUGUAAUUCCUUCAAUGCAGUUUAGUUGUUAAUAAAGCUCAUCUUUAGGCGGCCUAAUUUUCUCAAUCACUUACACAGAAUCUAAGUGAAUGAAAGCAAAAAUAUAUUAUGAGGGUUACAUUGAGUCCCAGAGUAUUUCCAUAUUAUAGUUUCAAGCUAGUUUUGCAGAAGGCAUGUUGUUCUAAUUUUGCAAGAAAAUGCAUUUUGAAAUAUCUGGCCAGUUAAUCUGUGCAUUGGGUGGCACUUAUUUUUAUAUCAGUUUUAGGUAUCCUUUUUGUGGUUCCUUAAGAGGUUGGAAUGGAGUCAUGCAAUAAAUCUGAAGGCAGCCCAAAGCUUUUAAAGGAGGCUGUUGUUUUUUACAGCAUUAGGGAGCUAGAAUUAUUGAAAUUUAAAUAUCGUACCCUGUUGGUAGAGGGUCUGCCUGCGCUAACUGUGGCCAUUGAUAUGCCUAGAGUUUCUGGAAGUGUUUCAUAAUUUUGAUGCCCGUUUUAAGAAAUUCACAUUUUAUUAGGGAAUGUAGCAGAUUCUGAAACAGGGAGUUGUGGUGGGAUAUCAGAACAAGGUAACUUUGAGAUAUGUUUGCCUAGGAGUACAAAGGAGAUUAGCAUACGUAGUUUCAUUAGUAUUGAAGUCAAGUUUAUAAUUUCUUGUUUGUCUUUUGCUUGUACAAAAAGCUGAGUUUUUGGAUGCAUUAGUCUUUCAACAGGCAAUUUGCACAUGUGAAUGGUGGAAAAUGUUUUCCCAUCUUUUCUAUUUUCAUGUUUAUGAAAUUGUUUAAGAGCCUCACAAAAUAAUUGCAAAUAAUGCGGACUUAUAUAUCCAAGGAAUCAAAAUAUUGAGAAGGAACAAUAAUCAUUUACUUUAAGAAACUGGUUUUAGAAUUGCAAGCAUACUAUAUUUAGGCUAUACCUUUAUGUCUUCCCUUAUAGUUUCUGAAUAUUCUUAGAAUCUGAAUUUGAAAUAAAAGAAGAUGUAGUCAAAUAAUUAAUGAUAUAGAUUGUAAGCCUGUGUCAUUAGGAUUUAGAGAUUCAUGGUGAUCAUGAAAGACUUGUUUCUGGAUUCCUCUGAGCUAACAAAGAGUGUUGCAGUUAAACUGUUAUACUGGUAGACUUACUUUGAAUAAUGAAUUCUCCCUGCAGACUGUUCAAUUUAUUUCACUAGAAACAUGGAUCAUGCACUCACCUGUCUAAAAUUGAUGGUGAUACCAUUGAAAUCAGCAGCAUUAGAGGACCAGGUAAUGCUGAGCUUGGUAGAAAAGUCAGUUACAAAAAUGAGGGAGAUCCUCCGAGCCCAGGUGCCAGAUGUAAAAAUAAAGGAUGAAGCUUCAUUAAGCACAGUGGUGGUUUAUUGGCUCAAUCCAAGAUAAUAUAUUGAAUAUUGACAUGAAAUACAUUGGUGUAUUAUGGUCUCAUUCCAAAUGCUGGCCAAAGGGCAGGUUACUAAGUACUUUCCAUUGGCUUAAUAAGCCUCGGUAGGCCCUAAUUGUUGGCACAAUAAACAUAAUGACAUGCUUGUUGGCUGAAUCCUAGCCCAUAUGAUACCAAUGGUUUAGUAAGCAUAUAUUGACAUGCUAGUUGGCUUAAUCUCCGUUUUGAUUUAUCAAGUUGUUUAUCAACUCAUGAUGAGAUGAUAUUUGUGUUUAUGGGUUCAAAAAAUCUAAGACCCUCAUGUUGUCAUCUAUGUUUGCUAAUCAUUCUGAAAAGUGAUGAAAACAACAUAUAUUAGCCACCAUUUAUUUGUAGAAGUUAUCUUCUCGAAACUCUGUCAUUCUUUUAGAGAGAUGUUCCAUUCCAGGUUGAUUUCUCUGGGAGGCACCUAUUGCACAAAUAUAUGUGUGAGCUCGGAACAGGACAAUUUGUUUCCUUUAUGCCGUUCUCUCUAAUCUAAUAUUUCUUUGGACUAUUAUGUGUUUCUAUUGUAGGUAAGUUAUCUACAUGUAUAAAUUCAGAAAAUGGAGGCAUUCUUAUAUUAUGUUUCUUCUCUAGGUUAUUAAUAUAUUAAUGGUAAAAUGUUGGUUAUCAAUGUCUGUUUGGGAGCUUGGCAAAUUUUUUGUGUUUUAUAUGUGUAUUUAUAUGUGUAUAUCUUGAUUCUAAUUUCAAAGGUGGAGUUUACACUGGAGCAACAACUUUUGAUCAGGACCUGCACUAUUAUUGGUCAAAGAACAUUUAGAUGUGUUUUUUUCGCUUGUCUUGAAUCUUGAACAGUUGAAGGGAUUGAUCUUGUUGGAGAGAGAAUCUGCUUGACCUCCUUGAUUUCAUUCUGCAGCCGUGAAUCCAUUGUUUCUUUUUUAUGGAAAGUGCCAUUUUGUCCAAAUUUUCAUGGAGCUUUUUACCCAUGCAGGGUUAAAAUUUUUUAUGUGCAUACCUGGAUUGUCAAUGAUCUGCCAUGGGAAUUUGUUUUUCAUGGUUAUUUUAAAUUACCAUGAGACGUUUUUGUUUGUUGCUGGCUAUCAGGAAAUUGCAGUCUUUUCUAAUUAUUAAACUAAUUACACUAACUGGUAUAUAAGGAAAUUCAGCUAUGCCACAAACUGAAAAGUAAGAAACAAAUGCAUGAACGUUUUUUUUUUUUUUCUGUAAUGCAUGAAAGAAUAUAGCGUACAUAAUUUGAAACUUGAAGUCAAUAGCAUUUUUAUACACUUCCAUAAUCUUACUCAUACAUUAAUGUAGAUAGAUAGAAAUUGGAAAAUGAGACAAAAUUUUUAACCUCAUCUGCCAUGUAACAUGAUUUUGUGAGCUAACUUGAUUGAAUGUUCGAUGGAACAAGAAUUAUCAAAACAACUUGUUCAAAAAAGAUUCUAGCAUUUCUUCCAUUAUCUGCGAUUGGACCUGUCAGUUUUUCUUUCUUCUAUUGGACAUCUGCCUGCUAAAUUAGAAUCUGAUGAAUCAGAGAACAAUUGCUUCUAAGAGGAAAGUGGUAAAAGACAUGGCUUUAAACUCAGAACAGAGCCUCAAGGUUGAAAGAAGGAUAUGAGGUUAUUAUAAAAUCCCAGGCUGUGCGUGGAUGUGCCACAGAAAUCUGAUUACAAUAGAAAUCCAUAAUUUCCCUGAAAUCAGGAUGUCAAAAAUUCUAUACCAUGUAGCAAUCUCAAAUUUAUGACUUUUCAUCCAUAUAAUAUUACCUUUUUUUUCCAAUUUUAGAUCUCUCUUUUGGAAAUUUGGAGGAAAAAAAACUUCCACUCUGCCCGCAUCUUUGCAAAAUCGGUCCUUUUUUAUCUAUUUUGUAGAAACGACAGAUUGUUGGACUUUACUAGGUCUUCAUGUCCUUGACAAAUGAAUGGACACAUUUAGCAUAGUCGAUGCACAUAUAUUGGUAUUGGAUGCAUGGUUAAUACAGAUUAGUGCACAUGUAAAGAUGUUCUUACAA
rnacentral:lncRNA from 1 species